AUUGAACGCUGGCGGCAUGUUUUACACAUGCAAGUCGAACGGUAACAGGCCGCAAGGUGCUGACGAGUGGCGAACGGGUGAGUAAUGCAUCGGAACGUGCCCAGUCGUGGGGGAUAACGCAGCGAAAGCUGUGCUAAUACCGCAUACGAUCUAUGGAUGAAAGCGGGGGACCGUAAGGCCUCGCGCGAUUGGAGCGGCCGAUGUCAGAUUAGGUAGUUGGUGGGAUAAAAGCUUACCAAGCCGACGAUCUGUAGCUGGUCUGAGAGGACGACCAGCCACACUGGGACUGAGACACGGCCCAGACUCCUACGGGAGGCAGCAGUGGGGAAUUUUGGACAAUGGGCGCAAGCCUGAUCCAGCCAUGCCGCGUGCAGGAUGAAGGCCUUCGGGUUGUAAACUGCUUUUGUACGGAACGAAAAGACUCUGGUUAAUACCUGGGGUCCAUGACGGUACCGUAAGAAUAAGCACCGGCUAACUACGUGCCAGCCGCCGCCGUAAUAC
rnacentral:rRNA from 1 species